UACGGAAUGUGCAAACGUUAUUCGGAAUCACUGGGCUUAAAGAGUCCGUAGGCGGCAUGUUAGGUGAGGUGUGAAAUCCCCCGGCUCAACCGAGGAAUUGCGCUUCAAACCGGCGUGCUCGAGGAAGAUAGAGGUGGGCGGAACUGAUAGUGGAGCGGUGAAAUGCGUUGAUAUCAUCAGGAACACCGGAGGCGAAAGCGGCCCACUGGGUCUUUUCUGACGCUGAGGGACGAAAGCUAGGGGAGCGAACGGG
rnacentral:rRNA from 1 species